rnacentral:rRNA from 1 species
UACGUAGGUGACAAGCGUUGUCCGGAUUUACUGGGCGUAAAGGGCGCGUAGGCGGCCUGUGCAAGUCAGUUGUGAAAUCUCCGAGCUUAACUCGGAACGGUCAACUGAUACUGCUCGGCUAGAGUGCGGAAGGGGCAACUGGAAUUCUUGGUGUAGCGGUGAAAUGCGUAGAUAUCAAGAGGAACACCUGCGGCGAAGGCGGGUUGCUGGGCCGACACUGACGCUGAGGCGCGAAAGCUAGGGGAGCGAACGGG